rnacentral:rRNA from 1 species
AAAUUGAAGAGUUUGAUCAUGGCUCAGAUUGAACGCUGGCGGCAGGCUUAACACAUGCAAGUCGAGCGGAAACGAGUUAUCUGAACCUUCGGGGAACGAUAACGGCGUCGAGCGGCGGACGGGUGAGUAAUGCCUAGGAAAUUGCCCUGAUGUGGGGGAUAACCAUUGGAAACGAUGGCUAAUACCGCAUGAUGCCUACGGGCCAAAGAGGGGGACCUUCGGGCCUCUCGCGUCAGGAUAUGCCUAGGUGGGAUUAGCUAGUUGGUGAGGUAAGGGCUCACCAAGGCGACGAUCCCUAGCUGGUCUGAGAGGAUGAUCAGCCACACUGGAACUGAGACACGGUCCAGACUCCUACGGGAGGCAGCAGUGGGGAAUAUUGCACAAUGGGCGCAAGCCUGAUGCAGCCAUGCCGCGUGUGUGAAGAAGGCCUUCGGGUUGUAAAGCACUUUCAGUCGUGAGGAAGGUAGUGUAGUUAAUAGCUGCAUUAUUUGACGUUAGCGACAGAAGAAGCACCGGCUAACUCCGUGCCAGCAGCCGCGGUAAUACGGAGGGUGCGAGCGUUAAUCGGAAUUACUGGGCGUAAAGCGCAUGCAGGUGGUUUGUUAAGUCAGAUGUGAAAGCCCGGGGCUCAACCUCGGAAUAGCAUUUGAAACUGGCAGACUAGAGUACUGUAGAGGGGGGUAGAAUUUCAGGUGUAGCGGUGAAAUGCGUAGAGAUCUGAAGGAAUACCGGUGGCGAAGGCGGCCCCCUGGACAGAUACUGACACUCAGAUGCGAAAGCGUGGGGAGCAAACAGGAUUAGAUACCCUGGUAGUCCACGCCGUAAACGAUGUCUACUUGGAGGUUGUGGCCUUGAGCCGUGGCUUUCGGAGCUAACGCGUUAAGUAGACCGCCUGGGGAGUACGGUCGCAAGAUUAAAACUCAAAUGAAUUGACGGGGGCCCGCACAAGCGGUGGAGCAUGUGGUUUAAUUCGAUGCAACGCGAAGAACCUUACCUACUCUUGACAUCCAGAGAACUUUCCAGAGAUGGAUUGGUGCCUUCGGGAACUCUGAGACAGGUGCUGCAUGGCUGUCGUCAGCUCGUGUUGUGAAAUGUUGGGUUAAGUCCCGCAACGAGCGCAACCCUUAUCCUUGUUUGCCAGCGAGUAAUGUCGGGAACUCCAGGGAGACUGCCGGUGAUAAACCGGAGGAAGGUGGGGACGACGUCAAGUCAUCAUGGCCCUUACGAGUAGGGCUACACACGUGCUACAAUGGCGCAUACAGAGGGCGGCCAACUUGCGAAAGUGAGCGAAUCCCAAAAAGUGCGUCGUAGUCCGGAUUGGAGUCUGCAACUCGACUCCAUGAAGUCGGAAUCGCUAGUAAUCGUGGAUCAGAAUGCCACGGUGAAUACGUUCCCGGGCCUUGUACACACCGCCCGUCACACCAUGGGAGUGGGCUGCAAAAGAAGUAGGUAGUUUAACCUUCGGGGGGACGCUUACCACUUUGUGGUUCAUGACUGGGGUGAAGUCGUAACAAGGUAGCGCUAGGGGAACCUGGCGCUGGAUCACCUCCUUA